rnacentral:rRNA from 1 species
UACGUAGGGUGCAGGCGUUAAUCGGAAUUACUGGGCGUAAAGCGUGCGCAGGCGGCUUCCUAAGUCAGAUGUGAAAUCCCCGGGCUUAACCCGGGAACUGCGUUUGAAACUGGGAGGCUAGAGUGCGGCAGAGGGAGGUGGAAUUCCACGUGUAGCAGUGAAAUGCGUAGAUAUGCGGAGGAACACCGAUGGCGAAGGCAAUCCCCUGGGCCUGUACUGACGCUCAUGCACGAAAGCGUGGGGAGCAAACAGGAUUAGAUA